rnacentral:rRNA from 1 species
UACGGAGGGAGCUAGCGUUGUUCGGAAUCACUGGGCGUAAAGCGUGCGUAGGCGGUGACUCAAGUCAGAGGUGAAAGCCUGGAGCUCAACUCCAGAACUGCCUUUGAAACUAGGUCGCUAGAAUGUCGGAGAGGUGAGUGGAAUUCCGAGUGUAGAGGUGAAAUUCGUAGAUAUUCGGAAGAACACCAGUGGCGAAUGCGGCUCACUGGACGACUAUUGACGCUGAGGCACGAAAGCGUGGGGAGCAAACAGG